ACAAUGCGGGACUAUACGUCUUGCAAUUGGAUUGAGAACAAUGUACAACUCUUAUCGAUAAGCCAUUGGAGGGCAAGUCUGGUGCCAGCAGCCGCGGUAAUUCCAGCUCCAAUAGCGUAUAUUAACGUUGUUGCAGUUAAAAAGCUCGUAGUUGAAGUGUGGGUGAUCGCUGUUGUGAGACUUCGGUCUCUCGACAGUAAGUCACCCCCUUCCAGUAUCCAGUAGUGGGUAUUCAGUUACUUACUAUUGUGUGUUGGUCCUUUACUGUGAGAAAAUUAGAGUGUUCAAAGCAGGCGUUUGCUUGAAUAGAUUAGCAUGGAAUAAUAAUUGAAGGCUUUCGUGUUCGAUUUGAUUGGUUUGUUCAUGGAAGCAAGGUUAAAAGGAACAGUUGGGGGUAUUCAUAUUCACUAGUUAGAGGUGAAAUUCUCGGAUUUAUGGAA
rnacentral:rRNA from 1 species